AUGAUUCUCCUUCAAGGUGGCCAAAAUCUUAACCAGAAAAAAAACAAAAGCUUCCAGUCUUGCCUGCUUGGUAUAUGGCAGGGUUUACUUAGGGGAAUUUGGGCUAAUUUCUACCCUGUUCGCUCACAAUGUAGUUCUUCCCAACCAACCAGUCUUCACUUCAAGAGGGCCACACUGCAACCUCAGCUCAACUCCAUAAGUCACAAUGGCUUGGCUCAAGACCAGACCCAUGGAGGCCUUAUUUUUUGUGCCUUAGUUUCUCUGAGAAGAACCAGAAGAGGAAAGAAAGGCUUUUGGGUCAUUGUCAUUGUGUAUAUUUUUGUGUGUCUUCUUGUAUGUUUAUACAGUUGUGAGUAUUUUCACAAAAUUCAAAACAGCCACAAAGAAACAGUGGCUGGACCCUAGUGCAGGUAAAUAAUCAGAGAUGGAGCAAACCAGUGUCAUCCAGUCUUUGAUACAAGUGAGCACAGCUGCAAGGGGACGCAAAUUCUGUGUAUGUUGGUAACUACCCGGCAAGAAGCAUGUGGGUAGCAAGGAAGAAGUAAAAAAAAGAAUCCUGGGAGAUAAUGCAUGAAAUGAAAGGACUAGUUAAGGAUUUAGAAAACAGCAAAAGACAGUAAUAUAUAGCUAUACAAGAAUUGAGGGUGAGCAUGCAAAACUUAUGAGGCACUGUCUUAAACACCAAUCAAUGUGGCAGAAAAAAAUUCAAAGCACAAAAACAAAACAACCCCAGAAUUAUCUUAAGGACUGACAGUGGUAAUUAGAGUCAAUUUAAUAAUCUUACAUUUCCUUACAUUAUUUUGAUAAGAUUAAAGUGUCUAUUUGCCAAAAUUCUUUAUUUGGAGAACUUUUAUCAAAAGUAAUGCUGCCAAAGGAAGUCUGAGGAGUUGGUAAUGUUGCCAUCACGUGUUUGGAAUAUUUUUAGUCUAAUAGAGUGUGAUUUUUUGGACUGGCAAUUAUAUUUUAACUUUGGUGGGGGAAAGAAUUAUAGGACCACAGUCUUUACUUCUCAUAUUUGUAAAUUACUAAUCUUUUGUUGAACGUCUUUUGACCAUUAAACUAUAAUAUUUAGAAAUGGUCAUUUUAUGUAAAAAUUGGAAAACUUUUGAUAAUAGUACAGCAGAAUAAAUGAUUUAAUAUUUUAUUUAAUAUAUUGAACUGUCAAUGACAAAUAAAAUUCUUUUUGAUUA